rnacentral:rRNA from 1 species
AUUGUAAUUGGAAAAUACAGAUGAUAAGAAUGGGAAAUUCAGGACUUUAAUUAAUAACAAAGAAAACGGAAUAGCAAGGAAAUGAUAUUUAAAGGACUUAAAAGGAUUAUCCCCCACAUAGUUAAAUGAAACCUUGAACCAGAAAUCUUAAGAGAGGCAGCAAUGAAGAAUAUUGAUCAAUGAGCGCAACAAUGAACCAGCCAUCACGUAUGCAGGAAGACGGCCAUAUGGGUUGUAAACUGCUUUUCCAGGGGGAGAAUUUUUCUGUCGUGACAGGAAUUGACGGUACCCUGGGAAUAAGCAUCGGCUAACUCCGUGCCAGCAGCCGCGGUAAUACGGAGGAUGCGAGCGUUAUCCGGAUUUAUUGGGUUUAAAGGGUGCGUAGGCGGAUUGAUAAGUCAGUGGUGAAAACCUGCAGCUUAACUGUAGACUUGCCGUUGAUACUGUCAGUCUUGAGUGUGGUCAAGGUAGGCGGAAUGUGUAAUGUAGCGGUGAAAUGCUUAGAUAUUACACAGAACACCGAUUGCGAAGGCAGCUUACUGGGCCAUUACUGACGCUGAUGCACGAAAGCGUGGGGAUCGAACAGGAUUAGAUACCCUGGUAGUCCACGCCGUAAACGAUGAUCACUCGCUGUUAGCGAUACACAGUUAGCGGCUAAGCAAAAGCAUUAAGUGAUCCACCUGGGGAGUACGGCCGCAAGGCUGAAACUCAAAGGAAUUGACGGGGGCCCGCACAAGCGGAGGAACAUGUGGUUUAAUUCGAUGAUACGCGAGGAACCUUACCUGGGCUUAAAUGUAGAGUGCAUUCAGCUGAAAGGCUGAUUUCCUUCGGGACUUUCUGCAAGGUGCUGCAUGGUUGUCGUCAGCUCGUGCCGUGAGGUGUCGGGUUAAGUCCCAUAACGAGCGCAACCCUUAUCGUUAGUUGCCAGCGGGUAAUGCCGGGAACUCUAACGAAACUGCCGGUGUAAACCGAGAGGAAGGUGGGGAUGACGUCAAAUCAGCACGGCCCUUAUGUCCAGGGCUACACACGUGUUACAAUGGCCGGUACAGAGGGCAGCUAUGCCGCGAGGCAAUGCGAAUCUCGAAAGCCGGUCUCAGUUCGGAUCGGAGUCUGCAACUCGACUCCGUGAAGCUGGAUUCGCUAGUAAUCGCGCAUCAGCCAUGGCGCGGUGAAUACGUUCCCGGGCCUUGCACACACCGCCCGUCA